rnacentral:snRNA from 1 species
GGAUGUGAGGGCGAUCUGGCUGCGACAUCUGUCACCCCAUUGAUCGCCAGGGUUGAUUCGGCUGAUCUGGCUGGCUAGGCGGGUGUCCCCUUCCUCCCUCACCGCUCCAUGUGCGUCCCUCCCGAAGCUGCGCGCUCGGUCGAAGAGGACGACCAUCCCCGAUAGAGGAGGACCGUUCUUCGGUCAAGGGUAUACGAGUAGCUGCGCUCCCCUGCUAGAACCUCCAAACAAGCUCUCAAAGAUGUUUAUAAAUGUAUUCACCAUUUUGAAUAAUCAUGGUAACAUUUCAUUGGCAAAGAUUUUUAAAAUCAGGAUCUAUAGUGUUUCCACUAUUCAACACUU